rnacentral:rRNA from 1 species
GUGGGGAAUAUUGGACAAUGGGCGAAAGCCUGAUCCAGCCAUGCCGCGUGUGUGAAGAAGGUCUUCGGAUUGUAAAGCACUUUAAGUUGGGAGGAAGGGCAGUAAGUUAAUACCUUGCUGUUUUGACGUUACCGACAGAAUAAGCACCGGCUAACUUCGUGCCAGCAGCCGCGGUAAUACGAAGGGUGCAAGCGUUAAUCGGAAUUACUGGGCGUAAAGCGCGCGUAGGUGGUUUUGUAAGUUGGAGGUGAAAGCCCCGGGCUCAACCUGGGAACUGCCUCAAAAACUGCAUGACUAGAGUACGGUAGAGGGUAGUGGAAUUUCCUGUGUAGCGGUGAAAUGCGUAGAUAUAGGAAGGAACACCAGUGGCGAAGGCGACUACCUGGACUGAUACUGACACUGAGGUGCGAAAGCGUGGGGAGCAAACAGGAUUAGAAACCCGUGUAGUCC